rnacentral:misc_RNA from 1 species
UGCGUGCACCUACCUCCGCUUUCUCCUUCAUAAAUCACAUAGUAUCCUUCUGUCUUCCUGUCAGAGCGCGAGCAUAGAAGUCUACCAGCGCCGUCGCUUGAAUCGCCGCGGUCACCCAGCGCAACGCGCGAGCACCACUUUUUUUUUUUCAGGGGACAGAAAGUCUCAGAAUGUUGCACAAGUACGACAAAAUCGAAGACGCCAUGGCAGCGUGCGUAUCCCUCGAGUACCCACUCAUCGUCGCUCUGCACGACAAGCUGCCCAGCUUUCUGAAUAACGCAGACGAAGCCACUCGCGGCAGCGGUUCCAGUGGUGUGGCAGGUGGACGCAGUGCUGCCGGCCUGACGUUCUCUUUUCUGCCUACCUCGCGCAGCAUGGCCAUGAUUCAGUCCAAUAGCAGCUUCUUCGCCGAUGGCUCCGACUCGUGCGAAGCGUCGCACACGGCACCCGACCUCGCCGCGGCCGUGGCGAACUCCUCCCUCGGCUACCUUAUGAGGCCAGCAAACCUGACGGCAGCCGCCGCGGCGAACGCGUCGUUGAUGGCGCAGGCACUUGCAGAUGGCGAAGAGCUCGCUCUUGUGCCGGACUUUCCGUUAGGCAGUGUGCAGGGCGGAGCUGCACAGCGUGAGGCGCUGCUCGUCACCUUCCUUGAGAGCCGCCUCGGCUCCGUCAUGCUGUUGCAUCUUAUCGAGGCAGAGACCCCGGACUACGCCGCCUUCUCGACUGCUGUGCCGGCGGCACCGGGCAUCCCUGGCACUGCACUGCCGCGUGUGCACAUCUUCUUCCCGCCGAGUGCAGGCAUGGCACCGGUCGUGCUGAGUGGGAGCUCGCUGACUCCGCAGAGUGUGUACAACUGCGUGCAGAUGGGCCUGUUAAAGCUCAAAGUACACACCUCUCCAGCGACGGCCUCAGGCAGCACUGAUGAGCUUCUCUCCUUCUUCUCGACCACUGUGGCUGCCAUGAACCGCGAGUACGCGCGCGCGCGUCAGCGGGCGAAUUCUGCUUCACCCAUCUCCGACUCGAGCACCGCCCCGCUGCUUCAGCAGCGCCACAGCGACCCCGCCGCCACGACGGGGACGGCGGCAGAUGGUGAAAAGCCCACAACGACCGCGCCGAUCGUGGCGGUGCCGGCGCAGCGGGCGAAGGGGACAAGCAGCUCGGACGCACUAGAAGCAGCGCAUUUGAUUCGCGUUGCAGGGCUUCCAAUGUCCUUCACCACCUCUGCGACGGCAAGGGCAGCACACAAGACGAUUCUCACCACCUCAAGCAUGACGCUUCAGACAGUGUGGCGGGUGGUGGAGAAGCACCUUGAGUGGGCGCAGCGGGAGGUGCAACAGGCGCAGGCGGCGUCGACGUGGAACGGGGUCACACCGCCAAAGCCUGGGGCAAAGUUCACCUUUACGAUCGAGUCGUCAGCAACGCCAGCAGAGGCGGCCGCGGUGACGGUAACGACGAGGGAGGAGGCUGCCAGGGUGCGUCUGCAAGACUACCCACGCAACACAGUGUUUCAGGUGCACUUCGACGGCGUUGCGCCGCCAUCGCCGCAGCCUGCUGUACCGGCACCAGCGGCAGCAACCACAUCCGCACUGCGGCCUAACCGAUACAUGUGCGAGGGAGACGUGUGCCGUUGGCGAGUUCCUGAAGACACCCCGGCGCCUGCUGCCGCUGCGGCCGCAGCCGCACCACCGGCGCCAAAAGCGGAAUCGGCACUCUCCCCAGCCUCUGUGAGGCUCCGCUGUUCGCUCCCCAACGGUAAGACGCUGGACCUGGCGCAGCUGGACCCGUCCGUGGCCACCCUCCGCGACGACGUCCGCCCUGCCGUGGCAGACGCUCUCGGCUACGAUAACUUCGUGUUUGUAUGUGCCUACCCACCGAGGCGGUACAGCAUCGAGACGGAUGAACCGCUGCCGCUGAAGGACGUGGAGCUCGGUCGAUCCAGUGCCCUGCGUGUCGUGUCGCUCGACGGUCCUACGUCCCCCGAUGCGUCGAGCAGAGGGUCGCAGCCGCAGCAGCAGCCAGGGCACACAAGGCAGAUGCUCGUCAACGCUGCCUCUUCUCUGAUGGCAAUGCUUGCCGGCGCUCUUGGCAACCAAGGUGGGGCACCAGCAGCAGCAGCAGCCCCUGCAUCACCUGGCACACGUCAGUCGCAGCAGCAACGACGUACAUUCAACUCGAUGGCCGAAAUGCUGGCGGCGAACGAGGAGGCAGAGCGGCAGACAGCCAUGGAACGCCUUCGGCAAGAGCAGGAGCAACAGGGACUCGGGCCUUCGUCCUCGUCUCGUCAUCAGCCGGACGCCGAGCAGCGGGCACAGGGCAAGAAGUCCAACCGCUACUUUGGAGGCGGUUCCACCGAGUUCAUCGCCGAGGAUGGUCACGACGAAGCCGGAAAGGAUAGUGACGGCAAGCGCGUCGCAAUGGAGGGCUUGACACCUGAGCAGCAAGAAGCCUUCCUGAGUGAGCAGCUGCGGCAACUCAUGAAUCGCCAUCGGCGGCAGUCCGGAGAAGCAGGCAAUGAGAACGAAGAGGACGCCGAGGAAGAAGACGAGGGAAGAGCGCAGAGGAGGGUGGAGGGUUAUCGCGCCUUCCAGGGUCAAGGGCGACGCUUGGCUGGCGAUGCACCGCCUGCGAGCGGUGACUCUUCGAAUGCCGCCUCUCCCCACCCCCUGUUGCCAUCCGACUAAGCUCUCGCGCCGGCAGCCAAGAAGUAGACGGGAGGGAAGAAGUGCAGUGAGCGGAUGUGGAGUGUGGGACCUUGUACUGGUCGUUCGUCUUUCUCUGCGUGUUAUAACUAUCAUGCAUGUGUGUGGGCGUAUGCUCGUGUGUGUGUGUGUGUGUGUGUGUGUUCAUGUGUUGCCGAGGCCGGCAUUUGGUGGGAGGCGAGGGAAAGGGGCUAAGGCGACACCGCCGCUCUCCAGCACCUCUCUCCUUCCUAUCUCGUUGCCUUUUCUUUUUCUCUCUCUCUCUUUGCUUUGCAUUUCUGUCGCGAGCGUGGCGUUGCGUGUCCCCUACGCAGAUUUCACGUGUUCCUCCACCCCUCCCUCCCCUGUGCUCUGAUGCGGAAAAAAAAAACCAAG